AAGUGGAUUGUAAUGUGUUUGUUUACUAAUCCAUUACACCAAUUUUCUUGCACACAUUCACAUGCAGCACAAUAAGGAAAAUCAUUUUGUAGAGGAUGCAAAGCAAUUCCAAGAAAAAGCAAAACUCUAUCAAGGAAACUACUAUACACUGGAUGGAGAAUUAAUCACCAUAAUACCUAGCUCGAAGGAGGGCUUUCGAUCAUGCAAAUCGCUUUAUUAUAAGAAGAAGCAACCUAUACCGGGAAGGUAAUAAAAUAUAGAUGCAGCUGCAUCUGCAGCAUAUUGAUGGCGUGCUUGCACAUACUCCUCAACCCUUCAAACUUUUACUUCAAUAAACGAAGGGUACCAAACCACUACCU
rnacentral:misc_RNA from 1 species